rfam:Schistocephalus solidus strain NST_G2 genome assembly, scaffold: SSLN_scaffold0000412
GGCCUGGUAGCUCGGUUGGCUAGAGCGUUGGCUGUACUAAAGCCUUCCCCUUGCUGGCGUGGGUUCGACUCCCACCGAGGUCG